GACGAACGCUGGCGGCGUGCUUAACACAUGCAAGUCGAGCGAUGAAGCUCCUUCGGGAGUGGAUUAGCGGCGGACGGGUGAGUAACACGUGGGCAACCUGCCUUAUAGAGAGGAAUAGCCAUUCGAAAGGAUGAUUAAUACCUCAUAAUAUUGUAGCUUCGCAUGGAGCAACAAUCAAAGGAGCAAUCCACUAUAAGAUGGGCCCGCGGCGCAUUAGCUAGUUGGUGAGGUAACGGCUCACCAAGGCGACGAUGCGUAGCCGACCUGAGAGGGUGAUCGGCCACAUUGGGACUGAGACACGGCCCAGACUCCUACGGGAGGCAGCAGUGGGGAAUAUUGUACAAUGGGGGAAACCCUGAUGCAGCAACGCCGCGUGAGUGAUGACGGCCUUCGGGUUGUAAAGCUCUGUCUUCAGGGACGAUAAUGACGGUACCUGAGGAGGAAGCCACGGCUAACUACGUGCCAGCCGCCGCUGUAA
rnacentral:rRNA from 1 species